GACGAACGCUGGCGGCGUGCCUAAUACAUGCAAGUCGAACGAGUGGCGAACGGGUGAGUAAUACGUGAGUAACCUGCCCUCUUUUUGGGAUAAGCCUUGGAAACGUGGUCUAAUACCGGAUAAAGGGGGAUGGGCUCGCGGCCUAUCAGCUUGUUGGUGGGGUGAUGGCCUACCAAGGCGGUGACGGGUAGCCGGCCUGAGAGGGUGAACGGCCACAGUGGGACUGAGAGACGGCCCAGACUCGUACGGGAGGCAGCAGUGGGGGAUAUUGCACAAUGGGCGAAAGACUGAUGCAGCGACGCCGCGUAGGGGAUGAAGGCUGUCGGGUUGUAAACCUCUUUCGCUAUCGAAGGGGUAGGUGGAGAAGAAGCGCCGGCUAACUACGUGCCAGCAGCCGCGGUAAUUC
rnacentral:rRNA from 1 species